GGUGUAGCGGUGAAAUGCGUAGAGAUCUGGAGGAAUACCGAUGGCGAAGGCAGCCAUCUGGCCUAAUACUGACGCUGAGGUACGAAAGCAUGGGGAGCAAACAGGGAUUAGAUACCCUGGUAGUCCAUGCCGUAAACGAUGUCUACUAGCCGUUGGGGCCCUUGAGGCUUUAGUGGCGCAGCUAACGCGAUAAGUAGACCGCCUGGGGAGUACGGUCGCAAGACUAAAACUCAAAUGAAUUGACGGGGGCCCGCACAAGCGGUGGAGCAUGUGGUUUAAUUCGAUGCAACGCGAAG
rnacentral:rRNA from 1 species